GGAUAUCUGAUCUGAUUAAAUGCAUAGAAAUAGAAUUAAUUAAGACAAUGAUUCAUCCGUUCUAUUCAUUACUUUUCUAUGCAUUUAAUCUGAUCCGAUAGGCGAAAUCCAGAUAAUAAUAAAAAAAAACUGGGCCCAGAAGAUUAAUUUGAAAGCCACACCCAUGACAUUGAAUGGAGGCUGAACACGUUGAACAAUUAUGAGUUUCAGAGGGUGUGUCUUGUCAGAAUGAACGAGCCCACUCUAAUGUUACAUUUAGUCCAGACGAGGUACAACACUAAACGCUCUUCCACCACUUUCUGUCGACCCAGGUUUUCUGGAGGAUAAGCGACCAACUUGCGUUUAAACAUUGAAUGUGGGGUCGUUUCGGGGGAGGGCAAAGUGUUACGCAGUAGGCUAGUGUUUUUCUUUAUCACCCAGUUUCAGGUAUUGUCCUUGAUAUUGGCCAACGCGCCUCUCUUGCCCCUUCUCUUGGGGUCGCGUUCGUCGGGGAUUGUUGUUAGUUCACCAAGGGGGUGUCGCCAUGGGGGAUGUUAUUUCCACUCACCUGGACGAGGGCAAGCGAGAGAUGAUUACAGCUCGUGCCAGGCAGGUGAUGGGGGAGUUUGGCCAUGUGUACAAGGAGCAGUAUNNNNNNNNNNNNNNNNNNNNNNNNNNNNNNNCUUGUAAAAACGUGGGCACAAUCAGAACGUGGACAAGAUCAGGACGAAGGAUGCUAGUUAGCACCAGGUAUAAACCGGGCUAAAGUAGGCCAAUUAUUUCCCUACUACUGCAAGAGUAUAGUACGUCACUGUUCAUAGUAAUAUACACACUACCUAAUACUAAAAAAAAUAAAGCCUAGCCAGUUGAUAUAAUAGUGAACCCUUCCUCCUCUCAUAAGUCUGACUGUAUUUUAGUCUGGUAAAGAGCGAGGGCAGAAACCAGACGGUAGCUGUAGCUUCUAAAGAUGUCCAAAGCUGCAGUUUCAGAAGGAAAGAGAGAAGCAAGUAAGUACAGAAGAAAAAGCAGGU
rnacentral:lncRNA from 13 species